UACGAGGGGGCGAGCGUUGUUCGGAAUUAUUGGGCGUAAAGGGUCUGUAGGUGGCCAACUAAGUCAGACGUGAAAUCCCUCAGCUUAACUGGGGAACUGCGUUCUGAUACUGGAUGGCUUGAGUGUGGGAGAGGAAUGCGGAAUUCCAGGUGUAGCGGUGAAAUGCGCAGAUAUCAGGAGGAACACCGGUGGCGAAGGCGGUUCUCUGGGCCGUUACCUGACGCUGAGGAGCGAAAGCGUGGGGAGCGAACAGG
rnacentral:rRNA from 1 species